rnacentral:rRNA from 1 species
UAGGGCUAGCCUCAAGUGAUGAUUAUUGGGGGUAGAGCACUGUUUGGACGAGGGGCCCCUCUCGGGUUACCGAAUUCAGACAAACUCCGAAUGCCAAUUAAUUUAACUUGGGAGUCAGAACAUGGGUGAUAAGGUCCGUGUUCGAAAGGGAAACAGCCCAGACCACCAGCUAAGGUCCCAAAAUAUAUGUUAAGUGGAAAAGGAUGUGGCGUUGCCCAGACAACUAGGAUGUUGGCUUAGAAGCAGCCAUCAUUUAAAGAGUGCGUAAUAGCUCACUAGUCGAGUGACACUGCGCCGAAAAUGUAACGGGGCUAAACAUAUUACCGAAGCUGUGGAUUGUCCUUUGGACAAUGGUAGGAGAGCGUUCUAAGGGCGUCGAAGCAUGAUCGCAAGGACAUGUGGAGCGCUUAGAAGUGAGAAUGCCGGUGUGAGUAGCGAAAGACGGGUGAGAAUCCCGUCCACCGAUUGACUAAGGUUUCCAGAGGAAGGCUCGUCCGCUCUGGGUUAGUCGGGUCCUAAGCUGAGGCCGACAGGCGUAGGCGAUGGAUAACAGGUUGAUAUUCCUGUACCACCUCGUAUCGUUUUAAUCGAUGGGGGGACGCAGUAGGA